rnacentral:tRNA from 1 species
GAGAGGUUAGUUUAAUUGGAAUGUGUGAUUGUAAAUUGCAAGGUUUUUUUCUUCUUG